AUUGAACGCUGGCGGCAUGCCUUACACAUGCAAGUCGAACGGUAACGCGGGGCAACCUGGCGACGAGUGGCGAACGGGUGAGUAACGCAUCGGAACGUGCCCAGUAGUGGGGGAUAGCCCGGCGAAAGCCGGAUUAAUACCGCAUACGACCUACGGGUGAAAGAAGGGGAUCGCAAGACCUCUGCCUAUUGGAGCGGCCGAUGUCAGAUUAGGUAGUUGGUGGGGUAAAAGCCUACCAAGCCUACGAUCUGUAGCUGGUCUGAGAGGACGACCAGCCACACUGGGACUGAGACACGGCCCAGACUCCUACGGGAGGCAGCAGUGGGGAAUUUUGGACAAUGGGCGCAAGCCUGAUCCAGCCAUGCCGCGUGCGGGAAGAAGGCCUUCGGGUUGUAAACCGCUUUUGUCAGGGAAGAAACGCUCUGGACUAAUACUCUGGGGUAAUGACGGUACCUGAAGAAUAGGCACCGGCUAACUCUGUGCCAGCAGCCGCGGUAAUAC
rnacentral:rRNA from 1 species